rnacentral:tRNA from 1 species
GGAGAGAUGGCCGAGUCUGGUUUAAGGCGCACGCCUGGAAAGCGUGUGGGCCCCACAAGGGCCUCGUGGGUUCAAAUCCCACUCUCUCCGCCA